rnacentral:rRNA from 17 species
GUGUAAGUAUAAAUAAUUCUACUUUGAAACUGCGAAUGGCUCAUUAUAUCAGUUAUAGUUUAUUAGAAAUAGUGUACUACUUGGAUAACCGUAGUAAUUCUAGGGCUAAUACAUGAGUAAAUCCUCGACUUUUGAAGAGGUGUGUUUAUUAGUAUGAAAACCAUAUGCUUUUGCAUGAUAGUGAGUAAUAAUAACCUUUCAUAUCGCCUGUUUUAAAUAGCGAUAGUUCUUUCAAGUUUCUGCCCUAUCAGCUUUCGAUGGUAGUGUAUUGGACUACCAUGGCAGUAACGGGUAACGAAGAAUUUGGGUUCGAUUUCGGAGAGGGAGCCUGAGAGAUGGCUACCACAUCCAAGGAAGGCAGCAGGCGCGUAAAUUACCCAAUCCUGACAUAGGGAGGUAGUGACAAUAAAUCACAAUGCGGGACUAUUUAUUUUUGCAAUUGAAUUGAGAACAAUGUACAAGAGUUAUCGAUAAACAAUUGGAGGGCAAGUCUGGUGCCAGCAGCCGCGGUAAUUCCAGCUCCAAUAGCGUAUAUUAACGUUGUUGCAGUUAAAAAGCUC